UACAGCAUCCGACAAUGAGUGACCUUCUCGAGAAACAGCUCAGACGGAAAGCUGCGAAAACUCGCUCCGUCGCAGGGCUGUCGAGGGGUUUUGCUAAAAGUGGAAGGCAAAGGGCGACGUCAACGGGAACCGGAACACACGAACCAGGAACCCUUCUGUGUUGUCCAGAUGCCUAAGGCCAAAGAACCAUGGUUGCCGAAGGUGGCGGCACUGCUAAUAGGAGGAUGGAAGUGCGGUACACACUCGUCAGUAGGAGCGUUGGGGUUCUUGCGGGCAUCUGUCUUGUCCAUAACCAGUGGCCUUCGUAUGUGCGUGAGUGUUUUUGGGUUAAGAAAUUCUCAGACACACAAAAAGAACUCUGUCUGUCGUGAGCCGCCAAGACACUCUGCUGACCGUUUAUAUUGUUGUUUGUCCCAGGGGGACAAUAACGCGGAAUGUGGACGUUAAUGAUGAGAGACACGUUGAGACCCUUUUCGACUUCAAAAUGAU
rnacentral:lncRNA from 1 species